GCACAGGUUUUCGAAGAAGAACAAGAAGGCUCUAAAUUAUAUAUAUAUAAAUUUCAACUUAAUUAUUAGUAAAAUGUUGAAGACGGAAAUAUUUGAAAGAGCACUUUACCUUCAAAUGGAUGAAGCUGCUGAAACUCCACGUGCAAGUGCAGUGGUCACUUUCUCUGUGAGAGAGAACUGCAUAGCACUUGCAUUAUACGUGUCGGGCCAUAUUAUUUAGUCUUUUUCUCCCCAUAAUUUUUGGGUUUAUUAUACCAUAGAUUAACUUAAAAUACCAGUUAUGCCCUUGGUCGGCCAUUUUUCCUUUUCUAUAAAACUAGUAAGGGGUAGCCCUUCGAGUAGGGGUAAGGCUUGUCUACAUAUUACCCUCCCCAGACCUCACCUGGUGAGAGUAUACUGGGUAGUUAUUGUUGUUGUUGUAGUAAGGGGUAGCCCGUGCUGCGCACGAGCCUAAAUUAUCUAUAAAACUAGUAAGUGUUGAACAACAAACUAAGAUCCAUAACUUAUUGUGGCUUUUCUGCUCAAUUCACUUGAACUUCAGAAGGCCCUGGAUAGUCUUUACUCCAAGGCAGAAAUCUAGGCUUUCCAUUCUUUCGUGAAUAGACAUUAUUCACUUCCAGCAAUACUUCGUAAACACCUAUUACACGCCAAUGAAAUGGAUCAGUUAGCCGACAAAUCUAACAUAUGAAAUCAAAAAGGAAAAAAAAAAAUAACUGCCAUGAAAUUGUAUGGGGAACCUUACAUCCAUGCUUUUUAGAAAAGCUCCACCAACAGUCCACUCUUCAAUUUGAUCACAACGUAUCACAAUUGAUCCACAUAAUUAGUUAUUUACAUCUCUGUUGAUAAGUAAUCCAAUUAAUGAAAGAAAUGAUACUGCAAGAUGGAAAUGUUAAAAUUCUAUAGACAGACCUGAGGUUUUUUGUUCAUAUAAACAAAUAUGCACAAAGGGAGAAUCAUGUUCAUCCAUGUCGUCAGAGAAAGCAACAAAACAACUUGAAAAGGC
rnacentral:lncRNA from 1 species